GACGAACGCUGGCGGCGUGCUUAACACAUGCAAGUCGAACGGAAAGGCCCUGCUUGCGGGGUACUCGAGUGGCGAACGGGUGAGUAACACGUGGGUGAUCUGCCCUGCACUUCGGGAUAAGCCUGGAAAACUGGGUCGAAUACCGGAUAGGAGGCAGUAUUAGCGCGAUGGUUGGAAAGUUUUUUCGGUGUAGGGUGAGCUCGCGGCCGUUUAGCUUGUUGGUGGGGUAAUGGCCUACCAAGGCGGCGACGGGUAGCCGGCCUGGGAGGGUGGACGGCCAGCCUGGCACUGACAGACAGACCAGACACACUCGGGCGGCAGGCGGCGGGAAGGUUGCACAAGGGGCGCGAGCCUGAUGCAGCGAGGCCGCGUGGGGGAUGACGGCCUUCGGGUUGUAAGCGCCUUUCGCUAGGGACGAAGCUUUUUGUGACGGUACCUAGAUAAGAAGCACCGGCUAACUACGUG
rnacentral:rRNA from 1 species